GGAAAAUCUAAUUGUAAAAUUGUUCCAAACAGAAAUAGAAAGUGAGGUAUAACAUUUGAGGUAGUAAAUAAAACAGUGCCAAUGAUCCAUCCAUUUAAACACGACAUAUUUGGUUCUAAAAAAAAUCUAACCAGACCGACCAGCUUGCUUUCAAGGUGCCAAGCUGCUAGACCAAAUCACUUGAAACACUUGAUGUACAUAGUUCUGGCAAGCCAACUUAGUUGAUGGAAUCUUUUAGCCAACCAUGGAAGCCCUCACAUUAAAUUUGAACACAAAUGAGAUCACUUAGGGACAACACGAGCCUUGUACAUGCAUAUAUAUGCCAUGUGCCAGUCACCUCCACCAGAUAGCUUUAAGAUGUCUUCUUCUCUCUGUGCAAUGGGAUUAUCAUCAUCAUAUUCAAUCCACUUCCCACUUUC
rnacentral:misc_RNA from 1 species